GAAUUUCCUGCUGCCUGCUAGGUCCCUGCCUUUCUCACUGGAGCCUGGAAAUAUGGAGGCAAGAACUCGGAAGAAUGGGACCGUGUUUCCUGUUAAGUCCCCCUGCACAUUACUCAUUGUGAGAAAAUCUAGAAGCUUCCUCAUCUUCUAGAACCCUCCUCCGAAAGAACUCCCUUCCUGCUGCACAGGGGUAGGAAAAGAGCUCGCCUUGCCUCGAUCUACAGCAUGCUUGGAACAAGAAAAGAAUCUACCAUUGCAAUCACAGGCCUGCUUCAUCGUGAUGUCAAACACUUGGUCAUCUCUGUCUACAAGAGAACGAGGCUGGGUGACAUCACAGAGGCCCCGCCCAGCCCCUUUUACAAGAAGCCUCCAGGUGAGCCUGUAGGCCAACGCUCUUUUGUUCUGGGCACCAGAGGCCCAUGUCAAACCCAUGCUCUGCCUGUUCCCUCUGAGAGGGAAAAGGAGAAGGUCACAUGUCAUCUGAGCCUCACGCCUCAAAAUCCUACCCAAUCCUGAAUGCUCCUUCGCUGCCAAGCAGCUCUGGACUUAGAGAACCAGGGGAAGCUGCAGGGCUUUGGGCCAGGCAUGGGGGAAAUCCUUUCAUUCUUUAUUUCUUCUCUUCUUCUGGACAUGACCCAUUAAAACAAAACCCCAGCGCAGUGGGUAUGUGUUUACCGAUGCUAUUUUUAAAGCCCUCUAGGGAAGUGGUUUGCUAGCACUCUAGGGCGGGCUGUGAGCAGAAGUGAUUUCACGUGUCCUGGGCUGGGAACAAAGGGGCGGCUUGGGCCUGUUCUCACCGCGCCCACCUGCGGCACUGAACAAGCACCUCAGACUGUAAUUACCUCUGCCAGUAGAGCUUGUUUCUGAAAUAUGUGGCUUCCCCCACAGUGGGAUAACUGCCAGGCCCAAGUUUCUGGGGACUGACCCUGAACAGCUCGGGCUGCUUCUCCAGCACUCGAUGAGUUAUGUGAGUCACGGUCCAAUUAAAAACUGGGCAAGGAAAAGAAUGAAAGGAAGAGACAAGAAAGCCAUGUAAGGAUGCCAGGCGGGCAAGCAGUUAAACAUCCUGACUCUAAAAAGAUGCCAACACAAAAUCUCAAUUUAUAAAAGUUGAAUGGCCUAGAAGGGAGGCAGUUCUACCCAUUGUAAUACAUGAAUGGUUUCAUUUCAC
ensembl:lincRNA Gm13383 predicted gene 13383